GGGGGCGAUACGGUUUCGACGGGGAUACGGAGGUUCGUGUUGCGUGUCGGGGGUUCUCAUGACCCCGUUAAAAAUGUGGGAAAAACACAAAAGCCAACGAUGACGUUGAGCUGGCUCUCGCCGCCUAGUUUCUAGGAGGUGUUUGCCACAGGGCGCACAAAAGUAAGUCGUCCCGUCGACCGGAGUCAUGUCUGUGGGCCUCGGCUCGGCGUAAUUUAACAGGCUGGCAAAGAGCAAGCCCUGCUUGGGGCGUGCUUAGCGCGAGAUCAAAACCGAGCGACCUUGAAGGGGACCCUGCUCGUGGGGGACCCGAUGGGUAACAAAUCACGAGAUACACACGUAGACGCGCGAAACUGAAGAUUUUCGGACGCGGGUUCGACUCCCGCCGCCUCCAUUC
rnacentral:tmRNA from 1 species